rnacentral:lncRNA from 1 species
ACAAGCAAUUUUCAACGAUGUAAAACACAAGCUACGUCUGCACUGCAGUGGCCAAAGAGCAAGCAGUAGAGUGUCAUGAGACAGGACUGUUGUCCUGGAAACAUCUUUUUUUAAAAUAACAACUUAACAAGCCUAACGCAGUGAGCCCCUACCUCUAAACAGCCGUAGCUUGAGAAGACAUGUGGGAUAUAUACUUAUCCACGGCUUGACCAUUUCCCCAGAUGACAUUACUGUGAAGUUUGCAUAAGUCAUCUGAGACUGAUAACAAGGACACUGUGCCACAGCAACGACAGACAACAAAUCUGGGGAAGUUUGAGGACACACCCUCCGGCUGGGUGGUUGGCAAAGGGAGGCUGAAGAGCCUGCUUCCCUUGAGAGACAAGCAUGUGCUACCCUGUUCUCAAAUAUUUCAGUUAUUCAUGGUCAUGUGGCUGUGCAUAUGGAGGAAAACAGAAAAAAAAUGUCACAGGAAAUGUACCUUCUGUUCCCAUUGUAUCUGAAGAUGAGCCAUUCAUACAACUUGGAUGUAGAUACUUCCUUACAUGUACCUUGAGCAACCCAAGAAAUUUGGGCAGGUUUCCAUGCUAUGACAACACAUUUGCUUAGAGACCAAGCAGCCCAGUGGAGAAAGCGAGAACAGGUUCUUGGCUCAAUUUUCCAGGACGCAUGAUGGGACCAAACUGUACGUCACUAUGUGGAAAUGCACAACCAUAAAUUCUGCUCUCUCUGGAAUGGAACAACAGAUUUAUUCUUGAGCUAGAUAACUGUGAUCACAGUAAGAACACAGAGUUGACACGAUCGACUACUCUCCCUAUACCGUAUACUGCAGUCUAAUCCUCC